GAAAGAUGUUGAGGUAGCUGAGAAAGAGGAUCAAGAUGUGGAUGAAGAGGAGGAAAAAGCAGAGGAAAGAAGUUUUUCCUCCUCUUCAUCCACAUCUUGAUCCUCUUUCUCAGCUACCUCAGCAUCUUUCUCA
rnacentral:pre_miRNA from 1 species